GUGAUUUUUUUUUCGUUAACGUUUUUUUUUUUUUUGCCCCUGACUCUGACAAAUGAAAGGGCGUGUACCUGGAGGAGGGGAACUUAUUUGGCUACUUUAAAUAGGACAUUUGAGUUUUGACAUAAUUAAAAAUAAGACAUUUCUAAUGUUUUCUACUGCUGUAAAAACAACAGUAUGAUUUCUGGUAGUUUCACGCCAGAAAUCCCACUGGGAAUCAUGGCAGUGGACGGCACCCCACAGGAACUGUGACCGGUUCAGCAAGGUUGAAACUCUCAGACCCGUUGCCACCUCAUCAAACCAAUAUGAUGGGUUUAAAAUUAAAAUCUCAAUGCAUCUUUUCAGAGACCAACUCCCUUCCCCCAAGCCACACCUGUAAGCAAGGCAACUGGUGGCACCUACUUCAUAUUGUGUGGGAGAUUGAAUAUGUCAAUAAGGAUGUCUCGUAACUGACUGCUGUCCGGAGCCGAAAUUGUUAAUGUCUAAAACUAAGCCGCUGUGCAAUCGGAUAGUCGAUGGCCUCAGGGUGGUGUUGGGUUACCAUAAAAUGAUGCUAUUAAAUCAGAUGCGUUGUUUUGUCUACACAAAAGAAUGGGAGAGAUUGAGGAGAGU